AAUCGGAAGCGGGCGCGGGCCGAGGAAUCGCGUGUGCCUGUUAUCACGCUCCUUUGAAGGAUUCCUUAACGCUCUUAAAAGGUAUCGCCAAGUAGUUUCUCAGUGUAUCUCAGUGUGGGCUCGCGCACGUCUCGCGUUCGCGUUAUCGCUUCCAGAGGGAGCGGUGCACUUGGAUACGGUGCAUUUGGACACAGCCAAUCACAGCACCGUGUGAUUAGAGACAUUUGUAGGGUCCCUUGGAACAGCGACUUGUGAUUGGACUGUAUCCAAUUGCCCCGUGUCCAACUGAUAUACAGAGCUUCCAGAGCCUCGCAAGACCCAGAAAGCAGAGUGAAUUCGCUGCUGCUUCAAAUGUAACUAAUCCAGGAUUCACACCGCAUCCGAUGUCCGACGUAUGACGUCUAAUAUCCAAUAGAAGAACAGCUUCCUAAAUUUGGAAUUCAAUUCUCCAUUGAAAAGCUAUUCUAUUAUUCCACCUUCUCGAUAUUAUCUGUGAUUGAGAGAAGAGUUUGCGAGAUCUUCUCGGAUUACUUUGGAGCCUCCACCACAAAUUGCUUCUCUUUGCGUUAUCUCACGCACUGCAGAUAUCCGUGCAUCGUUCGACAGGACUCGUUACUGUCGCGCUUGCGACUCCGCACGCGAGUCACAUCCACUUCUAAGUUCUCACCGAGUACUUAGUUUCUGCCGCGCUUCCGGCAUUAUUCACGCGACUAAUAAGGAUCUGUUUGAAAAGAUGUACAAUAUGAAAAAGACAAAUGAUAUGAUUGAAAGGAUAUAUCGUAUGGAACAGAGAAUCAAGGAAAAGGAUGAAAUUAUAAAAAAUAUGGAAAAGAUGAAUGAAAAAAUUAAGGAAGAAAUUAAGGAAAAGGAUCAUAUCCUUCAUAUUUUAUACGUAGGAGAAUUAACCCAAAGUGUCAAGUUAUUUGUUCGACAAAAGAUCUUAGAUAAUACGAGGAAUAAUAAUGAAAUUACUUCGCUGGUUCAAUUAGAUGAACUAGUUGAAAAUGGAAGUAAAUUUUUGACAGAGGAUGAGAUUAAAAGAUGGAGAGAUUUUCGGAAGAAACUUGAAUGCGAAAAAAUCCAAGUGGACCAGUUAAACUCUGCUUUAAAGGUAGCAUUGCAAUGGCGAGAUUCAUUGGCACGUCCUAAACAUUUACCAGUGACAUAACUGACUUUGAAUAAAUAAGAUAAAAUCGAUUAGGAUGGAAUUUUGAGAGAAAUGCAGAAAAUGUUUUAACUACAUUUUCAAUGAUACGGAAUGAAGGAGUGGCAAAAUGAAAAAUAAAUAAUUAAAUAAGGACUUAUCUAUAGGAUUUUUGGAAUUCAGCAAAGAAGAGUAAAACUUCUUAUUAGACGAAUCAAUAUUAAUAUGAAAUGGGAGCACCAUAUCUGAUCUGUUGGAUGAACCAAUGCCGCUCAGGGCCACCUCAGAUCGAGCAGGCACGCGAUCAUUCGCAACUGGACAUGCAAAUGGAGAAUUACCACUAGGAGUCUUCAACGCAAUGCACCUGCGAGACACCCCCGGGAGUACGAGGAAGGGCAACUGGCGGGAAGACUGAGCAGAUACGGAAGGCAGUUGUUCCCAUGAGGAUGCUGCACUUGCUAAAGAUGUACUUUAAAUCGCAAAUGACAAUUUUUCCUUGGACCUAUAUCUCGCAUCUCGCUGUAUGUACUCCUCGUCGCAGGAACAGGACUCGAAGCAUCUAUUGAUACACAAUAUGGAAAAGACUAAUAAGCAUCUGUUUGAAAAGAUACACAAUAUGGGAAAGAUGAAUAAGCAUCUGUUUGAAGCCAUCUUGUUGAAACCAUCGUUAAAAGUGCACACAACCAAUAUCUUUCAGGUAGCUUAGGAAUUCCUUAACGAUAGAAGCUCACCGGCUUCGAAGCGAUAGUCAUCAAUGCAUUUUCGUAUCUCUUCAAAUUUCACGAAAUGUGUAUUAGCCUGAUGCUGCAGCGACUGGAAUGGGUAGUAAUCGGAAGGUGCCAUGUCUGGGCUAUACGUCGCGUACAGGAGAAGUUCUCAGCCUAACGCAAAGAUAUAGGCCGGUAUUCAUAGUCGAAUCUUAUUUCAAGAUCGUCUUAAGUAAUGUCUUAAGAUGCGAAUACGGCUCUGUGAUUGGUUCAUGACAUCUUAAGACAGUACUUAAGUUGAUCUUAAAUAUAAGAUCUGAUUAUGAAUACCGGCCAUAGUCUUGAGCUUUGACUAUAUAACUAUGGACUGCUAGCGGUGAUUCUAAGCGUCUGUCAAUAUCUGUGGCGCCGCCAGGAUCAAACAACGGCAAAAGAAGCAACUCAGUAGAGUAAAACAGAGUUGGCAACGUAACCCUAAAGGGACGUCUACAUUGGAAGUAAAUAGCAAGAAGUAGGAAGUAAGAGUAAGAAAUUGACCAACCACAGUCGAAUGUGAGAAGAAUAAUUAACUAUGAUUGGUCAAUUUCUUAUUCUUACUUCCUACUUCUU